CUUAAGCGGAAGUGACGUUUACGUAUAGGUUUUAAAUUCUCACUCCGCCUCUUCAACUUCCUUUCAGUUCCGUGUAUUUUUUUGCGAGCAGGGUCAUCUUUUGAAGAUGCGUGCCAAGUGGCGAAAGAAGCGUAUGCGAAGGCUUAAGCGAAAAAGAAGAAAGAUGAGGCAGAGGUCCAAGUAGACUGUUUACUGCUACUGAAGGCGUAAUUUUAAAUACUGAAGCAUCUGGAAAAGCGCAUGACACCUUACACUGGACAAGCCUGUAGUCUUUAAGAUUGCAUCUUCAAAUGGUCUCGAAUGGAUGAAAUAUUGGCUGCCUUUGGUGACUAAGCUUUUGUGAAGCUCUGGAUUUUUAUGUACGUCGUUUAGUAGCUGGCAAUAAAGUAAUUUGAAACUGA